GAUUAACGCUGGCGGCGUGCCUAACACAUGCAAGUCGAACGAGGUAGCAAUACCUAGUGGCAGACGGGUGAGUAACGCGUGGUCAACCUACCGUUGAGUGGGGGAUAACUAGCCGAAAGGUUAGCUAAUACCGCAUACGUCUCCGAGGGGCAUCCCUUGGCGAUAAAAGGAGUAAUCCGCUCGAUGACGGGACCGCGUCCCAUUAGCUAGAUGGUGGGGUAACGGCCUACCAUGGCACCGANGGGUAGCUGGUUUGAGAGAGCGACCAGCCACACUGGGACUGAGAAACGGCCCAGACUCCUACGGGAGGCAGCAGUGAGGAAUUUUCCGCAAUGGGCGCAAGCCUGACGGAGCGACGCCGCGUGUGGGAAGAAGGCCUUC
rnacentral:rRNA from 1 species